rnacentral:lncRNA from 1 species
CCUUGCCUUGCUAACUCCAGAAAAACUUCAGAGAUCAAGGUGAAAAGUCUUCAAUUUCCGAACAGCAAACCUACAGAUUUACCAUCUAAACCCACCUUUUCUUCCUUUUCCUCAUGUAAAGGGCAUCUUUCUUCUAAAGCUAAUCCUCCUCUCCCAGAAGUAUUUGAACAUGCCCAUCACUCCAGAUUUACAAAAACAAAACCUCCGAACCCCAUACAUUUCUCCUUCACUUACUGCCCUUUUCCCCUCACUUUGACAAUCUCAAGCAAAAUUCUUUCCCUGGCUUCCAUGUGCCCUGCUAGUUUCCCACCCCUCAUGACUCCUUUCCAACCUCUCUACUCAUCUCUUGAUUGUUGUCAUUCUACUCCUGGGCAGUCAGUGACUACUUAUAUAUUCAUGAAUCCCAAGUUUGUCCUGAAACCUCUCCUCCUUGUGUCAUUAUCACAGCUCUUACCAGGGUAGCCAGUCACUGGACUACAUAUCACGAUUUAUUAACUGCUCUGAAGCUUACCACAUAGAUGGGGAAACUGGGUUUUGGCUAUGUGCCUAAACCACAUAGCUUUCAAGAGGCAGAGCCAGGAUUUUAGUAUGAUUGUCUGCAGUCUUUGCAUAUACACCCAGAUAGUCUACAUAUCUAACUCAUUUUACCUGGAUAAACUUUACCCUGCCUCAUGUUCCCUCACAACCAAUGAGCCAGAGGUACAAACCAGAAACCCCGACAUUGUUUUCUCACUUAUUUCUACAGUCCAAUGCAUGAUCAAGACCACGUAAAUGUCAUUACCACUGCUACUUCCUUGGAUUAUACUGCCAACCCCGGCAUUCCCAGUCUUGAUCCCGUAAGUUUCAGUCUUACCAGUUCAAUGAUCUAAAUCUGAGAUAUCACUCCAUUUAAAAAAACCCUCAGUAGCUUCCUGUGUUCCCCUACAGGAUCUAACCACUAACCUACUUCCUUGUUGUUGUCCCAAGCCAGUCUACAUUAUCAAUUCAUUUAUUUCCUAUCUGAUGUCAUUCUUCCCCUUAUGCCACCUUCUCAUUUUAGCUGUAGAUUCCACUUUCUCUAAACAAUUCUCUACCUCCCAGAGUAGAACAGCUAAUCCCAAAUUGUCCCUAUUUUCCUCAUCACACCAUACCACUUACCUAUUAUCAACCAAAUCAAUGUGCUUUUUCCUUUACCAAAAGCUAGCUUUUGGUUAAAAUAUGAGCUUCAUUUAAAAUGUAUUCCUGGCCAGAAGCAGUGGCUCACACCUAUAAUCCCAGCACUUUGGAAGACCAAGGUGGACAGACCACCUGAGGUCAGGAUUGCCCCAAAUUACCUAAAUUUUGUGGUAGAGAGAACCAGAAGUCCAACCUACUAUAUACAAGGUAAGUAUCUUAUCUGAAACACUUGGGACCUAGGACUGUACAGGAAAUUCAUUUAUGCUUCAUAUCCACAUACCCUGAAGGUUAACUACUUGUUCCUCAGGGACAAUGAAGUGUUGUGUACCUGCAUUUUGACCCUGAAGGUUAACUACUUCUUCCUCAGGGACAGUGAAUAGUGUUGUGUACCUGCAUUUUGACUAUAAACCACCAUGAGGGUAGGCUAGGGAUUUUAUAGUUGUUGUGUCACAGCUCAAUUUCAGAGGCUGGAGCUUCUUGGAUUAGAAAUAUGCUCAACCUGUAAUUUUUAUACUUGCCACAUUUUCCUACUUUUUGUAAGAAAAUUUGCAGGCCGGGUACAGCGGCUCACACCUGUAAUCCCAGCACUUUGGGAGGCCAAGGCGGGUGUACCACCUGAGGUCAGGAGUUCGAGUCCAGCAUGGCCAACAGUCAAACCCCAUCUCUACU